rnacentral:rRNA from 1 species
UUGAACGCUGGCGGCAUGCCUUACACAUGCAAGUCGAACGGUAACGGGCCUUCGGGUGCCGACGAGUGGCGAACGGGUGAGUAAUACAUCGGAACGUGCCCGAUCGUGGGGGAUAACGAGGCGAAAGCUUUGCUAAUACCGCAUACGAUCUACGGAUGAAAGCAGGGGACCGCAAGGCCUUGCGCGGACGGAGCGGCCGAUGGCAGAUUAGGUAGUUGGUGGGUUAAAAGCUUACCAGGCCGACGAUCUGUAGCUGGUCUGAGAGGAUGAUCAGCCACACUGGGACUGAGACACGGCCCAGACUCCUACGGGAGGCAGCAGUGGGGAAUUUUGGACAAUGGGCGCAAGCCUGAUCCAGCCAUGCCGCGUGCAGGAUGAAGGCCUUCGGGUUGUAAACUGCUUUUGUACGGAACGAAAAGCCUUCUUUUAAUACAGGAGGGUCAUGACGGUACCGUAAGAAUAAGCACCGGCUAACUACGUG